rnacentral:rRNA from 1 species
UGGGGAAUAUUGCACAAUGGGCGAAAGCCUGAUGCAGCGACGCCGCGUGAACGAAGAAGUAUUUCGGUAUGUAAAGUUCUAUCAGCAGGGAAGAAAAAUGACGGUACCUGACUAAGAAGCUCCGGCUAAAUACGUGCCAGCAGCCGCGGUAAUACGUAUGGAGCAAGCGUUAUCCGGAUUUACUGGGUGUAAAGGGAGCGUAGGCGGUGGUUUAAGUCUGAUGUGAAAGCCCGGGGCUCAACUCCGGUAUUGCAUUGGAAACUGAAUCACUAGAGUGUCGGAGGGGUAAGUGGAAUUCCUAGUGUAGCGGUGAAAUGCGUAGAUAUUAGGAGCAACACCAGUGGCGAAGGCGGCUUACUGGACGAUUACUGACGCUGAGGCUCGAAAGCGUGGGGAGCAAACAGG